rnacentral:rRNA from 1 species
AGUGAACGCUGGCGGUAGGCCUAACACAUGCAAGUCGAACGGCAGCACAGUAAGAGCUUGCUCUUACGGGUGGCGAGUGGCGGACGGGUGAGGAAUACAUCGGAAUCUACUUUUUCGUGGGGGAUAACGUAGGGAAACUUACGCUAAUACCGCAUACGACCUACGGGUGAAAGCAGGGGAUCUUCGGACCUUGCGCGAUUGAAUGAGCCGAUGUCGGAUUAGCUAGUUGGCGGGGUAAAGGCCCACCAAGGCGACGAUGCGUAGCUGGUCUGAGAGGAUGAUCAGCCACACUGGAACUGAGACACGGUCCAGACUCCUACGGGAGGCAGCAGUGGGGAAUAUUGGACAAUGGGCGCAAGCCUGAUCCAGCCAUACCGCGUGGGUGAAGAAGGCCUUCGGGUUGUAAAGCCCUGUUGUUGGGAAAGAAAAGCAGCAGGUUAAUACCCCGCUGUUCUGACGGUACCUAAAGAAUAAGCACCGGCUAACUUCGUG